rnacentral:rRNA from 2 species
UGGGGGAUAUUGCACAAUGGAGGAAACUCUGAUGCAGCAACGCCGCGUGAGGGAAGAAGGUCUUCGGAUUGUAAACCUUUGUCCUUGGUGACGAUAAUGACGGUACCGGAGGAGGAAGCCACGGCUAACUACGUGCCAGCAGCCGCGGUAAUACGUAGGUGGCAAGCGUUGUCCGGAUUUACUGGGCGUAAAGGGAGCGUAGGUGGAUAUUUAAGUGGGAUGUGAAAUACUCGGGCUUAACCUGGGUGCUGCAUUCCAAACUGGAUAUCUAGAGUGCAGGAGAGGAAAGUAGAAUUCCUAGUGUAGCGGUGAAAUGCGUAGAGAUUAGGAAGAAUACCAGUGGCGAAGGCGACUUUCUGGACUGUAACUGACACUGAGGCUCGAAAGCGUGGGGAGCAAACAGG